UAACACAAGGUCUUGGUCUUAAACCUCCUAUUGUCUUAACCCUCUACUUAUACAUGCAAGACUCAUCACAACAGUGAAACAGCCCCCCCCCACCAUCAGAGCAGGUAUCAGGCCAACACGCCCACGACACCAAGCAACCAGCCACGCCCCCACGGGCCCGCAGCAGUAGUUAAUAUUGGGCUAUAAGCGUAAGCUCGACCCAGUAAGAGAGUUACCAGGGCCGGUUAAUCUCGUGCCAGCGACCGCGGUUACACGACAGACCCAAGACAAUACCACCGGCGUAAAGCACGACUAAAACAAAUAUGUUACCACACUAGGGAUAAAGCAAAACUGGGCUGUAAAAAGCCAUAAGCCACACUAAAAACGAAGCCCUAACAUAAAACAUCUUCCACUCGUGAAAGCAAGGACACAAACUAAGAUUAGAUACCUUACUAUGCCCAGCCUUAACAAAACAAUCAAAUAACGAAUUGUUCGCCAAAUAACUACGAGUUAAAACUUAAAAUUUAAAAGACUUGACGGUACUUCACACCAACCUAGAGGAGCCUGUCUAUUAACCGAUAAUCCACGAUUAACCCAACCCUUUCUAGCCCAACAGUCUAUAUACCGCCGUCGCCAGCUUACCUUGUGAAAGAAACAAAGUAAGCCCAAUAAUAUCACAUUAAUACGACAGGUCGAGGUGUAACCAAUGAAAGGGGUCAAGAUGGGCUACAUUUUCUAACCCAGAAAAGCCUACAACGAAUAAACUAUGAAACUAGAAACUGAAGGUGGAUUUAGCAGUAGACUAAGAAUAGAAUACUUAAUCGAAAUUAACGCAAUGAAGUGCGCACACACCGCCCGUCAUCCCUGUAAGAUACAUAAACUAUUCAUAAUACCAUUAACUUCUCCAAAGCAGGGCAAGUCGUAACAUGGUAAGCGUACUGGAAAGUGCGCUUAGAAACAAAAAGUA
rnacentral:ncRNA from 1 species